UACGGAGGGUGCGAGCGUUAAUCGGAAUUACUGGGCGUAAAGCGUGCGUAGGUGGUUGAAUAAGUUAUCUGUGAAAUUCCCGGGCUCAACCUGGGACGGUCAGGUAAGACUGUUUGACUCGAGUAUGGGAGAGGGUAGUGGAAUUUCCGGUGUAGCGGUGAAAUGCGUAGAGAUCGGAAGGAACACCGGUGGCGAAGGCGGCUACCUGGCCUAAUACUGACACUGAGGCACGAAAGCGUGGGGAGCAAACAGG
rnacentral:rRNA from 1 species